UUCGUUUGCAGUUCAGUAAGUGAAACAACAAUACAUGAGACUACCACUUGAAGUCUAGUGUAGCCCUAAAGCUGAUCCAUGGUGUCCUCUGAAUUUGGCGUCAAACUGUUAUGUUUGCUUUAGGUGUGUCUGUACGCCGACUUUGAGAUUGUGUGUGUGUGUGUGUAUGACAGAACCCUCUCCACCAAUGGAUGAAAAGGAGUGGCAUAUCUUUAACGUGCCUUACAGCAAGGUGCUGCUCCUGGGGGCCAUCGCCGCGGCGACCGUCUUCGUUGUGACCAUUCUCAUCGUGCUGGUGUGUGUCGGAUGCCAAAGCUGUCCUAGGAAAGACAAAAGAAAAUACUCUUCAACCAAUACGCACACGCUAUACGCCACGGUAGAACGGUAGAACCAGAGGUAGAACAGAACGGGGCCAGCCGACACGGAGAUGGCACAUCACAGCCAGGAGGGCGGCAAGAGUGUGUUCAACCUGCAGUCCUUCCCAAAAUAUCUCACGUUGAUGGAUUUUAAGCAGAAAUGGCUGCAGGGAGAAGCUAAUCUACAUCUUAACAACCCUCUGAAGCCUGGUUAAUGUGUGUCUACAAGCCUUAUCUCAAGCAUACUGCGGGACAUUUCCUCAGUGUUCCACCAAGCUGAACAAGAUUGUGGUGUGCAAAAAAAAAAAGAAAAAAAAUCCGAAUGUGCCUAUAAGACAAAGGCAUAGUCACAGUCUACACCAUUCAUAAAACCUUCCCUAAUGGUGUAACUCACGUCUUUAUCCUCCGGCAUUGUCUGGGGCUCAUAUGAACAGUGGUGGAGGAAGUAGGCCUACUGAAGUUUAGUACUUAAGUAAAAGUACAAUU